rnacentral:misc_RNA from 1 species
CCCUACUUAAGGAUGCGGAUCAUUCGCAAGUAUUUUAGUGAUUUACUUGGAGGGUGUGAAUGGUAUGGUCCCGGAAGUAGAACAGUUAUUGUUACAAGCAGAGAAGACAGGCGCUUAAAAAUGCAAACGCUAGAGAAUAUACCCACAAGGUUGAAGAAUUAAGCGAUCGUUAAGCUCUGCAAUUGUUUAGUUUGCAUGCUUUCCAACGAAAUCACGUCAAACAUAUGUUUCGUUUAGUUUGCAGGAAAGGUUAUGGCUUUAUUCAUCUAUGACCCUGCAAUUGUUUUAGGACCUCUCUCCUCCAAAUCCCAGCCCUUUAGUCUUCAAAUCUCUAUUUUUG